GAUGAAGAACGCAGCGAAAUGCGAUAAGUAGUGUGAAUUGCAGAAUUCAGUGAAUCAUCGAAUCUUUGAACGCACAUUGCGCCUCUUGGUAUUCCAUGGGGCAUGCCUGUUCGAGCGUCAUUUGUACCUUCAAGCUCUGCUUGGUGUUGGGUGUUUGUCCUUGCUCUAGUGGCGGGACUCGCCUUAAAGUAAUUGGCAGCCAGUGUUUUGGUUUUGAAGCGCAGCACAACUCGCGAUUCAAGUCUAUACGCUAGUUUCCACAAGUCUUUUAUCACUUUUGACCUCGGAUCAGGUAGGGAUACCCGCUGAACUUAAGCAUAUCAAUAAGCGGAGGA
rnacentral:misc_RNA from 1 species